UACGUAGGGGGCAAGCGUUGUCCGGAAUCAUUGGGCGUAAAGAGCGUGUAGGCGGCUUGGUAAGUCCGCUGUGAAAGUCCAGGGCUCAACCCUGGAAUGCCGGUGGAAACUGCCAAGCUCGAGUCCGGAAGAGGCGAGUGGAAUUCCUGGUGUAGCGGUGAAAUGCGCAGAUAUCAGGAGGAACACCAAUGGCGAAGGCAGCUCGCUGGGACGGUACUGACGCUGAGACGCGAAAGCGUGGGGAGCAAACAGG
rnacentral:rRNA from 1 species